GGUUGGGGGCUCCAGCUAUCUGUAAUUGGGAAGUGAAGAGGAUGUGACCGCCAGGUAAUGCUAACCCCGAAUCCUUGGUGCCUGUGUUAUGUACCAUAUGCUGAAUUUCGGUUCCAGCUGUGUGCUAGGCCGUGCCAUCCCGGGGGAGGACAAGAAAAAAGUAACAAAAAUAAUUUUUGGCUUCAAGCACCCAACAAUGGAAAUGCUGAAACCCAUGUCCUCUAAGUCCUUUUCUUCUCCUAGCAGAGGGCCCUCUGCCUACAUGGGGCACCGUGGUGGCCAUUUAAUGUACUCCUGCUUGGUACCCACCUCUGCUCUGCCCCCUGGUGGCCACAGACACCAUUGCUGCUGCCUCAGCACGGUUUGACCUUGUUGCUGCCAAGAGCCACCUCUCCUCUCAUCACUGUCCCCACUCUCCUGCCAUGCCUCAGGUGGCUGCUGGCAGAAGAGCAGUGGGCUUUGUUUCUUCAGCACAUCACAGCAACCACUGUCUUAUCAGCUCGCACCCUCAGGAUCUUACUGCCCCGUUUCCCAAAAAUCUCCACUCCGGCAACCCUGGCCCUGCAUCAUUGAAGGACAUUUAAGUGACAUAACAUAUUGUUGCCUCAAAAAAGUUUUUUCCCUCUUCAACAGCUGGGACAACUGGAUAACCACAUGCAAAAGAAUGAUGUUUGGCCACUAACCACACCAUACAUACAAAUUAACUCAAAAUGAAUCAAAGACUUAAAUGUAAGAGCUAAAACUUAGAACAAACAGGAGAAAAUCUUCACAACCUUGGAUUUGGCAAUGGAUUCUUAGAUAAGACACCAAAAGCACAAGCAACACAUGGAAAAAGAGAGAUACAUUAGAUUUCAUCAAAAUUAAAAACUCUUUUGUGCAUCUAAGGACACUAUCAAGAAAAUAAAAAGAAAAACUACAGAAUGGGAGAAAACAUUUACAAAUCAUAUAUGAAAGGAUCUAAUAUCCAGAAUAUUUAAGAAGUCUAUGACUCCCCAACAAAAAGACAACCCAAUUUAAAAAUGGCCAAAGGACUUGAAUUGAUAUUUUUCCAAGAAGAUAUGCAAAUGACCAACACACACUUGAAAAGAUGCCCAGAGCUGGACAUGAUGGUAUGUUCCUGUGGUCCCAGUUACUCAGGAGCUGAGGCAGGAGGAUCACUUAAGCCUAGGAGUUCAAGCCUGGAGUAAGCUAUGAUCUCACCACUACAUUCCAGCCUGAGCAACAUACGGAGACCUGGUCUCAAAAAAAAAAAAAAAAAAAAAAAAAGAUACUCAAUAUUAAUAGUCACUAGUGAAACACAAACUGAAACCACAUUGAAAUACUUAACACUCACUAGAAGGACUAGGACUAUAAUUAAAAACACAGACAAUAGCAAGUAUUGGCUAGAAUGGGUAGAAAUUGGAAUCUUCAUACACUGCUGAUGGGAAUGUAAAAUGGUGCAGCAACUGUGGAAGACAGUUUGAUGGUUCCUCAAAAUUUUAAACAGAAUUACUAUAUGACCCAGUAACUCUUGGAUGGAAUAAAAACUUUGUCUACACAAAAACCUGUACACAAAUAGCAGCACUAUUCAUAAUAGCUGAAAGGUGAAACAAUCUGAAUGCUCCAUUAGCUGAUGAAUGGAUAAACAAAAUGUGGUAUAUCUGUAGAAAAGAGCAUUACUCAGCCCUAAAAAGACAAAGGGAGUACUGAUACAUGCUGUAACAUGGAUAAGCCUUGAAAACAUUAUACCUAAUAAAAGAAGCCAGACCCGAAAGGCCAUGUAUUAUAUGAUUCCAUUUAUACAGAAUGUUCAGAAUAGGUAAAUCCAGACAGACAGAAAGCAGGUUAAUGCUUGCCAGGGGCUGAGGGGAAGGAGAAAUUGGAAAUGGCUGCUUAAUGAGUCCUUUAGGGGUGAUGAAAGUGUUUCGGAACUAAAUAGGGAUAGUGGUUUUACAGCAUUGUGAAUGUACUAAAUGCCACAGAACUGUGUACUUUAAAAUGGUUAAUUUUAUGUUAUGUUAAUUCCAUCUUAAUAAAGGAUGAAAAGUUU